rnacentral:rRNA from 1 species
CCUACGGGGUGCUGCAGUGGGGAAUAUUGGACAAUGGGGGGAACCCUGAUCCAGCCAUGCCGCGUGUGUGAAGAAGGCCCUCGGGUUGUAAAGCACUUUCAGUGAGGAAGAACGCCUGGUGGUUAAUACCCAUCAGGAAAGACAUCACUCACAGAAGAAGCACCGGCUAACUCCGUGCCAGCAGCCGCGGUAAUACGGAGGGUGCGAGCGUUAAUCGGAAUUACUGGGCGUAAAGCGCGCGUAGGUGGCUUGAUAAGCCGGUUGUGAAAGCCCCGGGCUCAACCUGGGAACGGCAUCCGGAACUGUCAAGCUAGAGUGCAGGAGAGGAAGGUAGAAUUCCCGGUGUAGCGGUGAAAUGCGUAGAGAUCGGGAGGAAUACCAGUGGCGAAGGCGGCCUUCUGGACUGACACUGACACUGAGGUGCGAAAGCGUGGGUAGCAAACAGGAUAGAUACCCGAGUAGUC